GACUCGUCUGUAGUCAGUUUGUCCACAUUGAGAACUAUGACCUCCAGCAGGUGGGAGAUGUGACGCGCGGCUCCAGACGGACCGUCUACCAGCUUACUGGUCCCCCCUUGCUGUCUGGGUUCAACGUGUCGGCUAUUAACACAAUAAACUGGGCGCGUGCAACGUCA